GCGCUCUUAGUUCAGUUCGGUAGAACGUAGGUCUCCAAAACCUGAUGUCGUAGGUUCAAAUCCUACAGAGCGCG
rnacentral:tRNA from 2 species